GUAGGUCCCGAGCGUUGUCCGGGAUUUAUUGGGGCGUAAAGCGAGCGCAGGCGGUUUGAUAAGUCUGAAGUAAAAGGCUGUGGGCUUAACCAUAGUAUGCUUUGGAAACUGUCAAACUUGAGUGCAGAAGGGGAGAGUGGAAUUCCAUGUGUAGCGGUGAAAUGCGUAGAUAUAUGGAGGAACACCGGUGGCGAAAGCGGCUCUCUGGUCUGUAACUGACGCUGAGGCUCGAAAGCGUGGGGAGCAAACAGGAUUAGAUACCCUGGUAGUCCACGCCGUAAACGAUGAGUGCUAGGUGUUGGGUCCUUUCCGGGACUCAGUGCCGUAGCUAACGCAUUAAGCACUCCGCCUGGGGAGUACGACCGCAAGGUUG
rnacentral:rRNA from 1 species